CGUGAGGGAAAGGUGAAAAGAACCCCGGGAGGGGAGUGAAAGAGAACCUGAAACCAUAUGCCUACAAGAAGUCAGAGCCCGUUAAAGGGUGAUGGCGUGCCUUUUGUAGAAUGAACCGGCGAGUUACUGUAUGGAGCGAGGUUAAGCAGGAUAUGCGGAGCCGAAGCGAAAGCGAGUCUUAAGAGGGCGAGAGUUGCAUGCAGUAGACCCGAAACCGGGUGAUCUAGCCAUGACCAGGUUGAAGUUGGGGUAAAACCCGAUGGAGGACCGAACCGACCCCCGUUGAAACGUUGGCGGAUGAGUUGUGGCUAGGGGUGAAAUUCCAAUCGAACCCGGAGAUAGCUGGUUCUCCCCGAAAUAGCUUUAGGGCUAGCGUCGAGGUAAGUUGCGUGAAGGUAGAGCACUGAAUAUGUGAUGGCCCCAUCUCGGGGUACUGAGCAUAAUCAAACUGCGAAUGUCACGAUAACAUGCUCGGCAGUCAGACAGCGGGUGAUAAGGUCCGUUGUCAAGAGGGAAACAGCCCAGACCAUCAGCUAAGGUCCCAAAAUGUAUGCUAAGUGGAAAAGGAUGUGGAGAUGUACAGACAACUAGGAGGUUGGCUCAGAAGCAGCCAUCCUUUAAAGAGUGCGUAACAGCUCACUAGUCGAAUGACUCUGCGCCGAUAAUUUACCGGGGCUAAGCAUACUACCGAAGCUAUGGAUCCCAAGGGAUGGUAGGGGAGCGUUCCAUGAACGGAGAAGUACGACCGAAAGGACGUGUGGAGAUCAUGGAAGAGAGAAUGCCGGUGUGAGUAGCGGAACGUGGGUGAGAAUCCCACGCACCGAAAACCCAAGGUUUCCAGAGGAAGGUUCGUCCGCUCUGGGUAAGUCGGGACCUAAGGCGAGGCCGAAAGGCGUAGUCGAUGGACAACAGGUAGAGAUUCCUGUACCCGUAUAUAUGUGAAGGAAUGACGGAGAGAGGAAGCUGCAGCCAGCGGCUGGAAGAGCUGGUGCAAGCGAGAUAUCGGGAUGGCAGGCAAAUCCACCAUCCGAAACGAGAAGGCGUGAAGCGUACGGAAAGCUACGGCGAGUACGGAAGGCAGUGGAGGAACUUCCAAGAAAAGUUUCUAACGUUAAGUAUAUAUGGCCCGUACCGAAAAUGGACACACAUGGGUGAGGAGAGAAUCCUAAGGUGAGCGAGAGAACUAUAGCUAAGGAACUCUGCAAAAUGACUCCGUAACUUAGGGAGAAGGAGUGCUCAUAGAGAUAUGAGCCGCAGUGAAACGGCCCAAGCGACUGUUUACCAAAAACACAGCUCUCUGCUAAGCCGCAAGGCGAAGUAUAGGGGGUGACGCCUGCCCGGUGCUGGAAGGUUAAGGGGAGGGGUUAACGCAAGUGAAGCCCUGAACUGAAGCCCCAGUAAACGGCGGCCGUAACUAUAACGGUCCUAAGGUAGCGAAAUUCCUUGUCAGGUAAGUUCUGACCCGCACGAAAGGCGUAACGAUUUGGGCGCUGUCUCAGCUGUAGACUCGGUGAAGUCUUAGUACCUGUGAAGAUGCAGGUUACCCGCGACUAGACGGAAAGACCCCAUGGAGCUUCACUGCAGGUUGAUAUUGGGAUUUGAUGCAGCAUGUACAGGAUAGGUAGGAGGCAAAGAGAUGGAUACGCCAGUAUUCAAGGAGCCGCUGUUGGGAUACUACCCCUGUUGUAUUGGAUUUCUAACCGGACGACGUAGAGCCGUUGACGGGACAGUGUCAGUCGGGCAGUUUGACUGGGGCGGUCGCCUCCCAAAGAGUAACGGAGGCGCCCAAAGAUACCCUCAGCUUGGAUGGAAACCAAGCGCAGAGUGCAAAGGCAAAAGGGUGUUUGACUGCGAGACCCACAAGUCGAGCAGGGACGAAAGUCGGGCUUAGUGAUCCGGCGGUGCUGAAUGGAAAGGCCGUCGCUCAACGGAUAAAAGCUACCCUGGGGAUAACAGGCUGAUCUCCCCCAAGAGUUCACAUCGACGGGGAGGUUUGGCACCUCGAUGUCGGCUCAUCGCAUCCUGGAGCUGAAGUCGGUUCCAAGGGUUGGGCUGUUCGCCCAUUAAAGCGGUACGCGAGCUGGGUUCAGAACGUCGUGAGACAGUUCGGUCCCUAUCUGUCGUGGGCGCAGGAAAUUUGAGAAGAGCUGUCCUCAGUACGAGAGGACCGGGAUGGACGCAUCAAUGGUGGACCAGUUGUCACGCCAGUGGCAUAGCUGGGUAGCUAAAUGCGGAAGGGAUAAACGCUGAAGGCAUCUAAGUGUGAAACCCACUUCAAGAUGAGAUUUCCCAUUGC
rnacentral:rRNA from 1 species